GUUGCGGUGGCCGAGUGGUUAAACCGUUGGACUCCAAAUCUAAUGGGAUCUUCCCAUUCAUGUUCGAAUCCUGCCCGCAACG
rfam:Nematostella vectensis strain CH2 x CH6 NEMVEscaffold_1303_Cont35605, whole genome shotgun sequence.